UAGACAGAUUAUUGUAUUCGACUGUAUUCAUAGCGUGAAACAAAGGAUUACAAUUGUUUUUAAACGAAAAGUGAAUCAAUUAACAUAAUAAACUCCU
rnacentral:pre_miRNA from 1 species